GAGCAAAUAGGCUAUAUAUUUAAGCCUUUAGAUUCAUACUCUAACGAAAUGUUUGACAUUUUGCUUC
rnacentral:tRNA from 1 species